UACGAAGGGGGCUAGCGUUGCUCGGAAUCACUGGGCGUAAAGCGCACGUAGGCGGAUCUUUAAGUCAGGGGUGAAAUCCCGGAGCUCAACUCCGGAACUGCCUUUGAUACUGAGGGUCUUGAGUCCGGGAGAGGUGAGUGGAACUGCGAGUGUAGAGGUGAAAUUCGUAGAUAUUCGCAAGAACACCAGUGGCGAAGGCGGCUCACUGGCCCGAUACUGACGCUGAGGCACGAAAGCGUGGGGAGCAAACAGG
rnacentral:rRNA from 1 species